GCAUAUCAAUAAGCGGAGGAAAAGAAACCAACAGGGAUUGCCCUAGUAACGGCGAGUGAAGCGGCAACAGCUCAAAUUUGAAAUCUGGCUUCGGCCCGAGUUGUAAUUUGCAGAGGAUGUUUAUGGUGCGGUACCUUCCGAGUUCCCUGGAACGGGACGCCACAGAGGGUGAGAGCCCCGUCUGGUUGGAUACCAAACCUGUGUUAAACUCCUUCAACGAGUCGAGUAGUUUGGGAAUGCUGCUCUAAAUGGGAGGUAAAUCUCUUCUAAAGCUAAAUACCGGCCAGAGACCGAUAGCGCACAAGUAGAGUGAUCGAAAGAUGAAAAGCACCUUGAAAAGGGGGUUAAACAGUACGUGAAAUUGUUAAAAGGGAAGCGUUUAUGACCAGACUUGUGUCGUGUGGCUCAUCCGAGGUUCUCCCCGGUGCACUCCACACGGCUCAGGCCAACAUCGGUUCUCGUUGGGGGAUAAGAACAGUAGGAACGUGGCCCUCUUCGGAGGGUGUUAUAGCCUGCUGUACGAUACCCUGAUGGGGACCGAGGACCGCGCUUCGGCUAGGAUGUUGGCGUAAUGGUCAUUAGCGACCCGUCUUGAAACACGGACCAAGGAGUCGUCCAUUAGAGCGAGCGUUUGGGUGUAAAACCCGCACGCGUAAUGAAAGUGAAAUUAGGUGAGAGCUUCGGCGCAUCAUCGACCGAUCCUGAAGUUUACGGAUGGAUUUGAGUAAGAGUUUUAACGGACGGACCCGAAAGACAGUGAACUAUGCUUGAAUAGGGUGAAGCCAGAGGAAACUCUGGUGGAGGCUCGCAGCGGUUCUGACGUGCAAAUCGAUCGUCAAAUUUGAGCAUGGGGGGCGAAAGACUAAUCGAACUGUCUAGUAGCUGGUUACCGCCGA
rnacentral:rRNA from 1 species